UACAGAGGGGGCAAGCGUUGUUCGGAAUUACUGGGCGUAAAGGGCGCGUAGGCGGCCGCCUAAGUCAGACGUGAAAUCCCUCGGCUCAACCGGGGAACUGCGUCUGAUACUGGGUGGCUUGAAUUCGGGAGAGGGAUGCGGAAUUCCAGGUGUAGCGGUGAAAUGCGUAGAUAUCUGCAGGAACACCCGUGGCGAAAGCGGCGCGCUGGACCACUACUGACGCUGAGGAACGAAAGCUAGGGGAGCAAACAGG
rnacentral:rRNA from 1 species